GAUGAAGAACGUAGCGAAAUGCGAUAAGUAGUGUGAAUUGCAGAAUUCAGUGAAUCAUCGAGUCUUUGAACGCACAUUGCGCCCCCUGGUAUUCCGGGGGGCAUGCCUGUCCGAGCGUCAUUGCUGCCCUCAAGCACGGCUUGUGUGUUGGGCCCCGCCCCCCGGCUCCCGGGGGGCGGGCCCGAAAGGCAGCGGCGGCACCGCGUCCGGUCCUCGAGCGUAUGGGGCUUCGUCACCCGCUCCGUAGGCCCGGCCGGCGCCCGCCGGCGACCCCCCUCAAUCUUUUCAGGUUGACCUCGGAUCAGGUAGGGAUACCCGUUGAACUUAAGCAUAUCAAUAAGCGGAGGA
rnacentral:misc_RNA from 1 species